rnacentral:rRNA from 1 species
CCAUUCCGAUUGAUUAUUCCAAACACAUUAUGGAAACUGAUGUACUGAAGCUAAGCAGGGCUGCGCCCGGUCAGUACCUGGAUGGGAGACCACAUGGGAAAGCUAGGUUGCUGACAGGA